rnacentral:lncRNA from 1 species
GCGGAAGGCAGACGGCCUGAAAGCUCUGCUCCUGUGGUUUGCGGUUUGCCCCUGUGAUGGACGUGGGCCAAGACACAGCUGGGGACAGUACCGGCUCUGCACACUUGCGGAACUUGGAGUGCAAGCUGGAGAAAGGUUGCUGAGGAGAGAAGGAAGGUCUGGAGGCUUGAAGCAAGGCAAGGUUCCCCAGACACCUGCAAUCCGUUCCGCGCGCCCCUCACCACGUCUGCCAGUUGUACCGCUGCACGGCUGGAGAUGCUCCCAUCUGUUUCGCGUCUACGAAUCCCUCUCAUUGUGUCGUCUUCCACUUUGCUUUUAGACCAGCUGUGUUACCGCGCUGGAGCCCUUGUUCCCUGUUGACAUUGAGUCUUCACCCUUGAACUGCGUCUUCAGAAACAUGACUGCCAAGUUCCUACAUGGUCUGCAAGCUGGUGGUAACGUUCAUGAAAGGUCAGAUAGAGGAGCAUGACCAAGAAGACUGUAAGGACCAUAUUCCAAAGAGAUGGGCUCUUUGAAGGGAAAUAAUGCAGGAGCAAAUGAUUUGGGUUUCAUCUUUGAGAAGAUGAAAGAGGAAGACCUGAUGUUAUGAAGAGAAUGCUCAAAACAUUUUUAGAGCCUAUCUAACGCAGGUUUGGAUCUGGAAGGAGAGAAGGCGCGCGGUUGUUGCUAUUGCAGGACUCUCUGGAACACUCACUCGGACAUCAGUGAGAGUAGAAGCGAAGAGAUGUCGCAGAUGGACUCAAGCCAGGGUUGCUCCUGAAAGGCUUGGUUGGGCUCCAGUCUGUUGUUUGCGUUUUAUACUCUAAAACCACAAGGUGGGGUGGGCAAGCAAGCGAAAUUUUACAGAUGCCUAAGAGGCAGUCAGCAGGUUGUUAAGGGUAACAUAGCCCAAUGUUUCUGCUAUUUCUCCAGGUCGUUAUGUUCCAAGUAGCCAGUAAAGACAUGCUUGUCAAAUAAGCAGGACAAGCAGUGCUUUGAAUAAGUCAUGAAAUGAAUCAAUAAAUCAGUAUUUAAUAAUAGGUCUCUGCUGCUUUCUUCUACUUUACUGGUAAAGAUCAUGGAAGAAGCAACUUCAAACGGAGAUGUGUAAAAUUGAUGCAUUGAGCUUCGAAGUGAAAUGACCCAAUGUAAAUGUCAAGGAAGUGGCUUCUGUCUCUCGGUUAAAAGGAGGUUGUAGCAGAUGAAGCAAAAGUCCAUUGCUAGCCCAUUGCCAUAAGGGAAAUGUUGAUCGUUAGCAUCUGAGUUGUGACAUAGAAGGUUGUGGGAAGAGUAGUCAGAGUGUGGAUGUGUUUGCAGGCAAAGCAAAGGAAAUUUUCUGACUCAUCAGAUUGGUCUGUGGUAGAAAAGUGAAAGUUUAGAAUGGGUUCAGAGUUUUGGUUCAGAAGCUGAAAAGUUGGGGUUUCAGGAUCAUCAUGGGGGGCCUUUGGGAAGCCCUUUGUUAACUUGUGCUGUGUGGCUUUCGAUGCAUAAACUUAGGAGAUCAUGGAGGGAACCAGCAUGGCCACAAUGGUGGUUAAGAAUUGAGCCACAAAGACUUCUGGGCUUUGGAAAACUGAGAGAUGAGGAGACCUAAGACUGACUAGAGAGGAUGACCAGUGACAACUGUCCUGUGGCCACGUCAAAGACGAGAUCCCCUGAUUCACAGUCGUGUUUGUUCAGGGCAGAUCUUUACCACCUUUGGAAUCCUAGGCACAAAAGCCUGCCGGUUAAGGAAAACAGAAGGUGCUGGAUGUGGACCACCACGCCAGCUUCUACACUCCCAAGAACUCCAGCAAACACCAGGAUUCCUGUAUCACGCUCAGUUGACCACAAGCACCAUUCACUCAGAUGCCAGGCUAGCCAUGUGUGAUUUGUAUAUUGUUGCACCAGGGAGGCACCAUUUGGAGGCCUUGUUGGAGUAAGUGUGUCACUGUGGGUGUGGGCUUAAUACUCUCACCCUAGGUGCCUGGAAAUCAGUCUUCCACUAGCAGCCUUUGGAUGAAGACGUAGAACUCUCAGCUCCUCCUGCACCAUGCCUGCCUGGAUGCUGCCAUGCUCCUACCUUGAUGGUAGUGGACUGAACCUCUGAAUCUGUAAGCCAGCUCCAAUUAAAUGUUGAUUUUUUUUUCAAUAA